GCUGGGUGCAGUGGUGUGUGCCUGUAGUCCCAGCUACUUGGGAGGCUGAGGCAGGAGGAUCACUUGAGCCCAGGAGUUUGAGGCUGCAGUGAGCUAUGAUUGCACCACUGCACUCCAGCCUGGGUGACAGGGUGAGACCCUAUCUCUA
rnacentral:SRP_RNA from 1 species